rnacentral:rRNA from 1 species
CCUACGGGCGGCAGCAGUGAGGAAUAUUGGUCAAUGGACGAGAGUCUGAACCAGCCAAGUAGCGUGAAGGAUGACUGCCCUAUGGGUUGUAAACUUCUUUUAUAUGGGAAUAAAAUGUUCCACGUGUGGGAUUUUGUAUGUACCAUAUGAAUAAGGAUCGGCUAACUCCGUGCCAGCAGCCGCGGUAAUACGGAGGAUCCGAGCGUUAUCCGGAUUUAUUGGGUUUAAAGGGAGCGUAGGUGGAUUGUUAAGUCAGUUGUGAAAGUUUGCGGCUCAACCGUAAAAUUGCAGUUGAAACUGGCAGUCUUGAGUACAGUAGAGGUGGGCGGAAUUCGUGGUGGAGCGGUGAAAUGCUUAGAUAUCACGAAGAACUCCGAUUGCGAAGGCAGUUCACUGGACUGCAACUGACACUGAGGCUCGAAAGUGUGGGUAUCAAACAGGAUUAGAUACCCCAGUAGUC